GACGAACGCUGGCGGCGUGCCUAAUACAUGCAAGUUGAGCGAUGAAGAUUGGUGCUUGCACCAAUUUGAAGAGCAGCGAACGGGUGAGUAACGCGUGGGGAAUCUGCCUUUGAGCGGGGGACAACAUUUGGAAACGAAUGCUAAUACCGCAUAACAACUUUAAACAUAAGUUUUAAGUUUGAAAGAUGCAAUUGCAUCACUCAAAGAUGAUCCCGCGUUGUAUUAGCUAGUUGGUGAGGUAAAGGCUCACCAAGGCGAUGAUACAUAGCCGACCUGAGAGGGUGAUCGGCCACAUUGGGACUGAGACACGGCCCAAACUCCUACGGGAGGCAGCAGUAGGGAAUCUUCGGCAAUGGACGAAAGUCUGACCGAGAAACGCCGCGUGAGUGAAGAAGGGUGUCGGAUCGUAAAACUCUGUUGGUAGAGAAGAACGUUGGUGAGAGUGGAAAGCUCAUCAAGUGACGGUAACUACCCAGAAAGGGACGGCUAACUACGUG
rnacentral:rRNA from 1 species